UUGGGGGAGAAUUGUGCAGAGGGGGGAGCCCUGCGGAGCACACCAAAUGCUUUGCCCCUGGUAUUUCAUGUUUGCUCUGUCCAGCACUGUUAGUAUUGCAUGUUGGGGAUUUUAUAAUUAAAGGUGAGCCCCACCCUCAGUCGUAGCAUGACAAAGAACUGGAGGGAGGUUUAGAAUUCCUCUCUCUACCCUGGUUGGCGGGGGAAGGG